rnacentral:rRNA from 1 species
GACAGAGGGUGCAAACGUUGUUCGGAAUUACUGGGCGUAAAGCGCGUGUAGGCGGCUGCGCAAGCCGGAUGUGAAAUCCCAUGGCUCAACCAUGGAAGUGCACCCGAAACUGCGUAGCUAGAGUCUCGGAGAGGAAGGUGGAAUGCUUGGUGUAGAGGUGAAAUUCGUAGAUAUCAAGCAGAACACCGGUGGACGAAGGCGGCCUUCUGGGACGAUGACUGACGCUGAGACGCGAAAGCGUGGGGAGCAAACAGG